rnacentral:lncRNA from 1 species
GGCGGCCCCGGCGGCGGCGGCAGGUGUGGAUGGGGCGAAGGUGCGGGAACGUCCACUCCCGCGCGCCCCUCUCGGGGACCAGGGCGGCCUCCCAGGAGGAGCUUGGUUUCUGGUCCUCAUACCGUGUGGUUGAGUGAAAUCAAAACUUCCACGAUAGCAAUGCUGAUUGGACAAAGAAUGUGUUGUGGACACAAAACCAAACUCUGGAGGACAGAGGAUUCAUUCCAAGGUGAAAAAUGGCAAACUUAUCCAGUGAUCUCCUCUAUAGAGAAGGUCUGCUUGUAUUCAAUGACUGGUCUACGUGGGGGUGUGAAGUCCCCUUACUCCACCUGUGAAGAGUCUUCCCAGUUUCAGACCACCCUCCCAGCCUCCUGUUAUUGGCUAAGGCCAUUUUGUGACUACACUGCAGGUAGAGAUGGAUUCCUGGAAAUACCUCCUCAAGGCCAGUGUAGAGCCCUCAAUCACCCACUGCCCCCAGCUUCUCCUUCUCCCAUCUCCUGCACCAAGCAGGUCUCCAGGUGUUCCAGCUGCUGAUGACGUAAAGUGUGGAGUUGGUCCAGGAAGGUCAUGUUCCAUGCAGCAGAGGAGCGCUUUGUGUGAGAAGUUGAAGACCUGCUGUAACACAUCAUAGAGGAAAGACAUAGCCUGGGCCUUCUGCAACUGGCUGACUUCCACCUUCUCCUGGGGGAAUCUGAAGUCACUUCUGUCCUUUAGACACAAGAAGGGAGAGAUUCUCCUCAUUUGGCCCAAAAGCACCAAGGUGUUCCUGCCUAGCAGGCCAUGGUUCUGAGGCAGGUUAUAUCCUAGAGAUCCAGAAGAGCCACAGCUGCACACCUCUAGGGCUGCCAGUAGAGGGAAGAGGAGGGCCAUUGAGAAAUCAGGAUGCUUUUGGCCUGGUUGAGCUGAGGUCUUCAUAGAACCUUGGAUCCUAGGUUCUAUGAAGACAUUCUAUCUAUGCAUGGCUUUAAUGGAGCACAAAUAGUUUUCAUUUUUCUGAGCAUUUCUCUAAAUUUUUAAUUCCAUUUAUUGUUUUCAUUUACAUGUCUUCUAUAUCAGCAUCCACAACCUUUUGGCCACCAGUUUGGUGGAAGAUAAUUUUUCCACGAAAAAUGGGGUCAGGGAGGGAAUGCUUUCAGAGGCAUUAGAUUCUCAUUAGGAGACCACAACCUAGAUCCUUCGCAUCUGCACUUCACAAUAGGGUUCCUGCUCUUUUGAGAAUCCAAUGCCACUGCUGAUCUGACAGGAGGCAGAGCUCAGGCGUUAAUGCUUGUUGGUUGGCCUGCUUGCCUCCUGCUGUGCGGCCCUGUUCCUACCAGGCCAGGACCAGUACCCCGGUCCAUGGAUGGGGGUUGAAAAACCUUGUUCUAUAUGACCUAAAAGGAGGUCAUCACUCUACACUCUUGAUUUUUGCAAUGGAUGUUCAAUAUUCCCAGUAAACUUAAGAUAUAUCAAUCCAAAUGAAUAUUGAUCAAUCAGAUGAGAAACAUCUUUGUGCUACUGUUAGAAGUAUAUACUUUUAGCCCAGAUCCUAGCCUCCAGUUUUACCCUCCAUUUUGCAUAGGAAAUCAGGAUCCCUGGGCCCUAUGGGUUUCUGUAUUCAGUUAGGAAAUUACCUAUCUCUGGAAAUUAAACUUUUUAGGACUA